rnacentral:lncRNA from 1 species
CACUAUCUCUGUUGGGAUUCCUUCUAUGUCUGUUCGAGUUGUGUUAAGCUGGUCAAACCGCGGUGCCCCUUCUUCUCUUGAUGUCCAUUUCCAAGAGUCUGUUCCAUUUCGCAUUCCUGCGGCAGCUUCGCCCCAUACUGCCGCUUCAUACGGUUCUCCAAGGGUUUGCCACGUGGCAUGCUAUAAGUACAUAAAAGUAUGCCACGUGGCAUGCCACCUCAUCCAAACCAUCCGUCUGAAUGCCACCUUCUAAAAGGUAUAGCCCAUGGCAUAUAAAUUGCUCAAAAUGUAUGCCACGUGGCAAACCCUACCCUACCCUAAACCCUAAACCCUACGCUUGCACAUGGCAUAGUGUUGCUUUCCAUACAUUGAGCCAGUGUGCCAUCUUUAGAGCACGUGGAAUAAAACGUGGCGAUAUAAGUUACUACAAAAAAAAACAACUCAAAAACAUCCAACUUUAGCCGAAAUAUGAGUUGGCAACACUACAUUUACUACCAAUCCAGGACUUGGGACUUGCUAGCCCCGAGAAUGGCAUCCAUGCCACUCAACAUUUGCACUUGGUCCAAGUGCUCCACGUGUCUGAUCCCAUGACCGACACUCAAAGGUACCACCGACAUAGCAGCCCGUUACGCUAAGGCCAUGCCCAAUCACCUUUGCCACACUGGUAGUCCAAUACCACUUGCAUCACCGUCUUGGCUCUCCAAGACUAGGCAAACUAUCCGUGAGUGGUCAUCUCAGAUCCACUCCUUAGCAUCCUUAGGAUGCCCACCGACAAGGGGAAUAGCCUUCCCCAUUAUCCCUCUGUCAGUCCCCACUAAGUCCCUUUCUGCCCCUGGCCGUGUUUGCCAACACUGCCACUGGAUCGAGACCCACAGGCCCGACCACUAAGUCCCACGGUCCUCUGGGACUUCCUCACCACACGACUGUGUCCUUGGUCACUACCCCAGAGGACUGCUCCUCUUCCUUUCCACAGUCUGGGCCUUUGGGACAACAUCUCGGAACACCGUGGCCUUACGCGAGCCACCUGGGUACUCUCCUCGCCUUUCGCCUUUAGGUGCUCUAGCCAUGGGCUUAGAGCGGGUUCCGUUGAGCCACACAAGGUAUCCAAGUAGGUAGUGCCACCCACACUUGGAUUGGGAGCAUCGGCCAGUCGAUCUCCCGGGGGAACUAGAGCCGGCUCUUGAACACUUCACCAAGCUACCCCGCUUGUCGGUCUGUGUUCACUCUAGUCUUGGACUUCCCAAUGGGCAGCUCAUCACCCAACACUGGGUCCGGCCUUCCUGGGCCAAACUGGCCUUUCCUGGCCAAACUGGCUCCACUGCAGUCCUCCCCCUACUAUACUUUUGGAGCUCACCAAACCCCCCAGGGUCUGGGAGACGAACGCUUUGGGCUUUCACCCUCUCAGGCUCCGGACUCGGACUCGGACUCGGACUCGGACUCGGACUCGGACUCGGAUUCGGACUCGGACUCGGGCUCGGGCUCGGUCUCAGCCUCGGCCUCGGUCUCGGUCUCGGUCCCGAUCUCGGUCUUGGUCUCGGUCUCGGUCCCGGUCUCGGUCUUGGUCUCGACUUCGGACUCCAUCUCGGACUCCAUCUCGGACUCCAUCUCGGGUCCAUCUCGGGUCCAUCUCGGACUCCAUCUCGGACUCCAUCUCGGGUCCAUCUCGGACUCCAUCUCGGACUCCAUCUCGGACUCCAUCUCGGACUCCAUUUCGGGUCCAUCUCGGGUCCACCUCGGACUCCAUCUCGGACUCCAUCUCGGGUCCAUCUCGGACUCCAUCUCGGACUCCAUCUCGGACUCCAUCUCGGACUCCAUCUCAGACUCCAUUUCGGGUCCAUCUCGGGUCCACCUCGGACUCCAUCUCGGACUCCAUCUCGGGUCCAUCUCGGACUCCACUUCGGACUCCAACUCGGACUCCAUCUCGGGUCCAUCUCGGACUCCACUUCGGACUCCAACUCGGACUCCAUCUCGGGUCCAUCUCGGGUCCAUCUCGGACUCCACUUCGGACUCCAACUCGGGUCCAUCUCGGACUCCACUUCGGACUCCAACUCGGGUCCAUCUCGGACUCCACUUCGGACUCCAACUCGAGUCCAUCUCGGACACUCCCACGUGUCAUGUGUUGGUCCUUUUGGGUCCCUUUUUGGAGCCUUGCCUUUUGCUCGCUUUGUGCUCGUUCCUCGAGCACUUCAUUGGGAGUUCCACUCCCGCUCUUGACUUUUCAAGUCGGAGCUUUUGGUCCAAACGUGUUACGCUCGUUUGGCUCUCGCUUCGGCCACUACCACGUGGCGCCCUUCCAGCUCCACUUUGGGGCCUAGGGAUUUUGUGUCUCACAACUCCACCACCCAUAGACGAAGUUCGAUGUCCUCAUCGAACGGUAAACCAUUUUGUAAAGUAACACUCGCGUGUGUUACCAUUUCCAUCCUUGGCACUUAGCCAAUAUUUGUCAAUGGUUUGACAUUGAAGGCUCACCAUGCCUUCUCCAUAUUCGUCAAUGGUUUAACAUUGAAGGCUCACCAUGCCUUUUGCAUAGGCCUCCAUGGUUUGACACCAAAGGCUCACCAUGCCUUGCCUAUCCUCUAAGGAGGGUAGUCUCUCCAACUUAGAGAUUGAUUGGACCACAUGUAGUGGUUCUCUCCUUUUAUUGGUUUAGUCCUCGCUAAACCUCUUAGAGACCCUUCUCUAAGUCAAUCCCACUACUCCUUCUCGAGUAGUCUCGAUUUCCAUCGAUAUAACCUUUGCACUUUGGAACUUUGAAAUUUGACUUUUUGGAGUCAAUUUCCUAGGUGUCUCCGACACCUUGCCUUGCACCUUUUUGUGCAACUCCACUUCCCAUCCUAGGAAGUUCUCUACUCGAGGGCACCAUCAUCCUCUCUUCUAUUUCGUGCCAAAGUUCCAGUUAUCAUACUUUGUGCUAGGGCUGUUCAUGGCCCUAUCAUUUGGCUACCUUACCGCUCCCUCCUUUGGAGCUUCCACUUUCGCCAAAUCGGAGCAUUUCGGAAUUCAUCCUUGGAAACACACUUCCUUUUCCAGAAUUUGUUAGCGUCCAACACAUUAGUGUUCCUCGCCUAACUUUGUCACUUGGAUUCCUUCCAAGGGAUUCCACGGCCCUAUCUUGGCCACUCAUCUUUUGCUCCUAUCCGUUGAUUGUUGCACCAAGCAACAUCGAAUCUCUACCUCCCUUCUUGAGGUAUUGUUUCGGUUCCAUAGCAAAGACUCUUCUUUGCCAAGUCCGGAGGAUGUUCACCCCUAGUACGUCUCUUUAGCAUCUUCUGCUAUGGGCUCUAUCCACGGCCCAACUUCGUGACCCUCCCAUGGGUCUUUUAUAGAGACUACUUUCCUCGGACUCACUAUGCCAUCGCACGGACAUAGUUUAUUUCCCUUAGGUGCUCUUCCCACUUGGUCAUCACGACCAAGCCACACCACCUUAAACAGUUCAAUUUCAACAUUUUGAACCAGGAACUUCAUUCCUUAGCCAACCAAGGACCUUGUCCUUAUCUGGCCAUAAGAUCACUUAGUGAUCUCACCUUGGCACCU